UAUUUAUGUGGGUUUCAUUGGUGAACCAGUGGCGCAUGGAAGCUAAAUAUAUUGUUAAUGGCAGUUGGUAAGUGGGAAUGGUCAAUUAUUUAUGGUUUGUUUUUGGUUUGCAAAAUAAUCAAAAUGUUAGUUUGACAGACGACAACAACAACAACUCGUUAUAGUUUGUUUCAAGACAUCUAGAAAAUAGAAUAAUAGAAUCAUUUUGAUUUUGUUCGAUGAUACAAACUGGAGCAUAUUAUGAUCUGUUUGUUGGAUGAUUUUAACAUAAUGUUUUAACUGAAAAUUGUUUUAUGGUACUAGAAAAGGAAGCUGUGUGUUCACUGUUGGCACAUUGAAUGAUUGACAGCAUUGGAUAAAUAAUGCUCUAUUUGAUAAAUACGUAAAGUACAUUGGACAGCUGAGAUUGUGGUGUUGACAUCUGAAAUUGGAAUUUGGACAGCUGAGAUUGUGACUUGGACAGCUGAGAUUGUGCUGUGGACAGCUAAAAUUGUGGUGUGAACUACUGAUAUUGUGGUGUUGACAACAUAUUGUGGUGUGCACAUGUGAUAUUGUGGUGUGAUGGUUUAAAGUAGCAAAGGUAAAGAACGUUUGACAGCUUAGAUUGUGGAGUGGACAGCUGAUAUUGUGGUGUGGACAGCUGAGAAUGUCAUGUCGACUACUUACAUUGUGGCUUGCAGAGCUGAUAUUGUGGUGUGAUGGUUUAAAGUACUAAAGAUUUAUUCCUUACUACCUUCCUGUCAACUAUAUCUUCCACAGCAUGAUUCAAUCUAGUCCCAAUCAUUGCCUCUGGUUACCUCACCAGAUGGUCCGUCCACAGAGUCACAAGCAACAGAUACUAAAACUCGGCAAAGUACAUGUACUUCAGUCUUCCAGAGGAUAUUGUUAACAAUGAUGAUUUGAUGUCAAAAAGAAAAUGUAUUUGAAUAGCUAUAUUUCUCUUGUGUCACUUGGGUGUCAAAUAUCAUUUUAGAGAUUGUCCGGGCUGUAACUUUGCAACGUAUAAACGGGCUUAAAUGUUUGCCUCAGCUAGACAGUGUUGUGUUGAACUCCCAGUCCUUUUGACCGCUGGCGGGCUCGACAUGUUUCCUGUGGGCAUUUAGUUUAUAUUGCAUAUACUUCAAGUAGAUACACAUUUUAGAAUACAGGUAGAUAACCAAAUAAGAAAGAAAACAUUUUUUUUAUUUUACAUACAUGUAAUAGCAAAAUUUGGAAAAUUUUAACUUCAACUUUCACUGUUAUAUUAUUAUAUAAUCACUUAUGAUGAGUAUGAAUGCAAUAUUGACACUGUAGAAAAUUAAUCCCGCAUUUGUGUUCAUAUGAAGAUACAAUAUCUUGUUAUCUAUUAUUGUCAAUCAUUGGUAUGUAAGAUUUUUGCCAUAUGUUUGAAUAGCUGACAAGCAUGGUAGAAAUUAUUAUUAACCAUUAACGGGCUAAAUUUCUAUAAUUAACUUGUCCAUCUUUCAAUAUGGACAGUAUCAUUAAAUGAAAGGGAUGGCUACCAAAACAUACUGACUGAAUGCAAACAGUGAAGAUCUUGAUCAGGCUAUACAGAUGUGCAGGCUGAUCAUGAUCUACACUGUUCACAAAGGCAGAAUCAAUCGUGUCCAGCAUGAUAAGGGUUAAAUCCAUUGUUUUUACUGCCUCCUUUUUUGGCUCAUUAUUGUACAAGUACAUAUACAGCAUUGCUUUUCUAACCAUGUAAUAAUGCAUAUGAUUGGUUUUCAAAAUAACGAAGCUUUUUCUCCUCUCUCACCAUACUUUAAAUAAGUUCAGUUUUAGAAAGUGUUUUGGGGCAAAUUAUAUUCAAAUCAAUGUAGUCAAUGAAUGUGUGCAGUUUCAGGUGAAUGGCUCAAGCAGUUUUAUAUCAAAUUAUAUAGUUAAUUUUGUCCCCUGUGAAUCCUAGAAAGUGUGACAUUUUAUAUGAAGGGUAGUUUUCAACUGUGAUUUAUUUUUUCAAACCAAGCAUUAUUGUAACAGCUUUAAUUUUUUAUGUAAGCCAGACUCUGCACAUUUAAAGGAAAAUACUUUUUUUCAUAAACUACAUUUUAUUCUUACCAAUGUGUCAAAUCUUGUGAUGGAACCCCCUUCACAAAUAAAUAUGAAAAAAAUACUAAAUUUAAAUGUUGAUCACUUCAAUUUCAUAACCCUAUUGCUUUUCUUAUGUCCUAAUGUUUUACAAGAUAUUAAUAUUUUCAGCUAUGAAGAUACAAUUAAUAUGAUUUUUUGUUUGAUAAAUUAAUUUAGCAGAACCUUGAUGAAUGUCUAUACACCCCAAAAUGUCCCCUUUGCACCAUUUCAGUUGUUAAGUGUCAGAUAUAAUUUGAGCCGCGCCAUGAGAAAACCAACAUGGUGGCUUUACGACCAACAUAGAUCCAGACCAGCCUGCGCAUCCACACAGUCUGGUCAGGAUCCAUGCUGUUCGCUAACAGUUUCUCUAAUUGCAGUAGGCUUUGAAAGCAAACAGCAUGGAUCCUGACCUGACUUCGCGGAUGCGCAGUCUGGUCUGGAUCCAUGUGGUCCCAAAGCCACUAUGUUGGUUUUCUCAUGGCGCGGCUCAUUUUAUUUUUUAAAUAGAAUGUUAUUUUACUUUACUUUUUCCUUGAAAGGGAGUUACAAUGGAUAUUAAAGCAGCUUUUGACUUCACAUGUAAAGGAUUGUUAAACAUUCACAAAGCCAAAGCUGUGCAUCCUUUUUUAACAUUCAUAAAUUACCUUAGCAUUACAGUAAUAUGUACUGGCAGUUCUAUAUUCUGAGCAAUGUGUACACAAUGGUUAGGCAAUACUUGACGAUUUAGAAUUAUGUAAGAAACCCUGGAAAAUUUAUAAAUCAUUCUUUGCUUUUUUGCCAAAGUUGUCGAGUUUCAAGUUAAAAAGUUACUAAUACUACUUCUUAAGCUGUUAAUUUUACCUCCAUAUGUUAAUGGCCGCUAGUGAAUAUUGUGUAGUUGAAAGAAUUUUGAUUACUACUGAUUUAUUGUAUAAAUAUUUUUGGCUGCAAUUUGUCCCCUGUGUAUCUUCUCAGUAACAUUAUAAAGUAUGUAUGUAUUUAACUAUUCCACAACAUACAUCAUGUGCCCUGACCUGCCAUAUUUGGUUAAAUCAAGUUU